rnacentral:rRNA from 1 species
CCUGGCUCAGGAUGAACGCUAGCUACAGGCUAACACAUGCAAGUCGAGGGGCAGCAUGGAGUUGCUUGCAAACUCUGAUGGCGACCGGCGCACGGGUGAGUAACGCGUAUCCAACCUUCCCUAUAGUAGAGGAUAGCCCGGCGAAAGUCGGAUUAAUACUCUAUGUUUCCGUUGCAGACAUCUAAGAUGGAACAAAGGCUUGCCGCUAUAGGAUGGGGAUGCGUCUGAUUAGGUAGUCGGCGGGGUAACGGCCCACCGAGCCAUCGAUCAGUAGGGGUUCUGAGAGGAAGGUCCCCCACAUUGGAACUGAGACACGGUCCAAACUCCUACGGGAGGCAGCAGUGAGGAAUAUUGGUCAAUGGGCGAGAGCCUGAACCAGCCAAGUAGCGUGCAGGAUGACGGCCCUAUGGGUUGUAAACUGCUUUUAUGCGGGGAUAAAGUUCACUACGUGUAGUGUUUUGUAGGUACCGCAUGAAUAAGGACCGGCUAAUUCCGUGCCAGCAGCUGC